ACCCGCUGAACUUAAGCAUAUUAAUAAGCGGAGGAAAAGAAACUAACAAGGAUUCCCCUAGUAACGGCGAGUGAAGCGGGAUGAGCUCAAGCUUAAAAUCUCUGUCACAUAUUUAUUAUGUGCGGCGAAUUGUAGUCUAUAGAAGCGUGGUCAGUGUAGGCACUUGAGAUAAGUUCCUUGAAAAAGGACAGCAUGGAGGGUGAAACUCCCGUUCAUACUUGAGUAGCUUAUGCGUACGACCCGUUUUCCUUGAGUCGCGUUGUUUGAGAAUGCAGCGCAAAGUAGGUGGUAAAUUCCAUCUAAAGCUAAAUAUUGGUGCGAGACCGAUAGCGAACAAGUACCGUGAGGGAAAGAUGAAAAGAACUUUGAAAAGAGAGUUAAAGAGUACCUGAAACUGCUGAAAGGGAACCGGAUCGUUUCUAGUGUCUAUAAUCCGUGAUAUAUUUCAUUGGGGAGUGUGUGCGUGUGUAUACUAUGGCAGUGGCUUUUUUGGCUGCGCUUGGUGUGCGUGCUGUAUGUGCUUUCUGGUGCUCUGUGUUGCGGUGGGACGUCAAGGUCGGUUUGUAUACUGCGGGAAAUGGCUAUUGAGGAGGGUAGGGCUUACGCUUGCGUUUGUCUAUUAUAUCUUGGUAGUUGUGUCGUGGUUGAGACUGAGGUGUCUAAAACGUGCUUAUGAGUGGGACUGUGUCUCCGUGUGCGCCGUGUGCGGAUAGCUUGCUAUGUGUGUGUGGUGGUGUGUGGAUUGAUGCGGGCUUUAACUUGUUGCCGUUCGGGACGUUGGCGAAAUAGAGCGAUUUGACCCGUCUUGAAACACGGACCAAGGAGUCUAACAUGUGUGCAAGUGUUAGGGUGUGGAAACCCAAGCGCGAAAUGAAAGUAAAGGAUAGUGUAAACUGUCUGAGGUAGGAAAUGCUGCGGAUUUCGGUCUGUGGUGUGGCACUAUCGACCGAUCAUGAACCUUCGUGGUGAAAGAUUUGAGUUUGAGCACAUAUGUUGGUACCCGAAAGAUGGUGAACUAUGCCUGAGUAGGGUGAAGCCAGGGGAAACUCUGGUGGAAGCUCGUAGCGAUUCUGACGUGCAA
rnacentral:rRNA from 1 species